GAUGAACGCUGGCGGCGUGCCUAAUACAUGCAAGUCGAGCGAACGGACGAGAAGCUUGCUUCUCUGAUGUUAGCGGCGGACGGGUGAGUAACACGUGGAUAACCUACCUAUAAGACUGGGAUAACUUCGGGAAACCGGAGCUAAUACCGGAUAAUAUUUUGAACCGCAUGGUUCAAAAGUGAAAGACGGUCUUGCUGUCACUUAUAGAUGGAUCCGCGCUGCAUUAGCUAGUUGGUAAGGUAACGGCUUACCAAGGCAACGAUGCAUAGCCGACCUGAGAGGGUGAUCGGCCACACUGGAACUGAGACACGGUCCAGACUCCUACGGGAGGCAGCAGUAGGGAAUCUUCCGCAAUGGGCGAAAGCCUGACGGAGCAACGCCGCGUGAGUGAUGAAGGUCUUCGGAUCGUAAAACUCUGUUAUUAGGGAAGAACAUAUGCGUAAGUAACUGUGCACAUCUUGACGGUACCUAAUCAGAAAGCCACGGCUAACUACGUGCCAGCAGCCGCGGUAAUACGUAGGUGGCAAGCGUUAUCCGGAAUUAUUGGGCGUAAAGCGCGCGUAGGCGGUUUUUUAAGUCUGAUGUGAAAGCCCACGGCUCAACCGUGGAGGGUCAUUGGAAACUGGAAAACUUGAGUGCAGAAGAGGAAAGUGGAAUUCCAUGUGUAGCGGUGAAAUGCGCAGAGAUAUGGAGGAACACCAGUGGCGAAGGCGACUUUCUGGUCUGUAACUGACGCUGAUGUGCGAAAGCGUGGGGAUCAAACAGGAUUAGAUACCCUGGUAGUCCACGCCGUAAACGAUGAGUGCUAAGUGUUAGGGGGUUUCCGCCCCUUAGUGCUGCAGCUAACGCAUUAAGCACUCCGCCUGGGGAGUACGACCGCAAGGUUGAAACUCAAAGGAAUUGACGGGGACCCGCACAAGCGGUGGAGCAUGUGGUUUAAUUCGAAGCAACGCGAAGAACCUUACCAAAUCUUGACAUCCUUUGACAACUCUAGAGAUAGAGCCUUCCCCUUCGGGGGGGCAAAGUGACAGGUGGUGCAUGGUUGUCGUCAGCUCGUGUCGUGAGAUGUUGGGUUAAGUCCCGCAACGAGCGCAACCCUUAAGCUUAGUUGCCAUCAUUAAGUUGGGCACUCUAAGUUGACUGCCGGUGACAAACCGGAGGAAGGUGGGGAUGACGUCAAAUCAUCAUGCCCCUUAUGAUUUGGGCUACACACGUGCUACAAUGGACAAUACAAAGGGCAGCGAAACCGCGAGGUCAAGCAAAUCCCAUAAAGUUGUUCUCAGUUCGGAUUGUAGUCUGCAACUCGACUACAUGAAGCUGGAAUCGCUAGUAAUCGUAGAUCAGCAUGCUACGGUGAAUACGUUCCCGGGUCU
rnacentral:rRNA from 1 species